rnacentral:misc_RNA from 1 species
GAUGAAGAACGUAGCGAAAUGCGAUAAGUAGUGUGAAUUGCAGAAUUCAGUGAAUCAUCGAAUCUUUGAACGCACAUUGCGCCCUUUGGUAUUCCUUAGGGCAUGCCUGUUCGAGCGUCAUUUAAACCUUCAAGCUCAGCUUGGUGAUGGGUGACUGUCCUCCCCUCGCGGGGGGACUCGCCUCAAAAACAUUGGCGGCCGGUACAUUGGCUUCGAGCGCAGCAGAAACGCGGUCUCGAGCCCGGUGGAUCGGCUCCCAUAAGUCUAUGCUUUUAUUUUGACCUCGGAUCAGGUAGGGAUACCCGCUGAACUUAAGCAUAUCAAUAAGCGGAGGA